AUGAGAUAAAGAAAUUACUUACUUUGUAGCCUAGCAUCUCUGAUUUGUUCUCCAUUGUUUUUACAUGUUCCCAGUUCAAACAGAUUUUGGAAUUUGUCAGUUUCCAGGCAAUGUUUGCCGGAGGUUGACUUGGUGCUUUAAAAAAAUAUGAUGAUAAUCAGAAGAUACAACUGAAUAUUAAUUUGCAUCAUGUAAUUGAACGAGCUGCUGACACAGAAGCAGCAAAUGCAUGGGUGAUUCAAAUCUAAGAGUAAAAAAUUGUUUCCAGUCCAUCAUUGCUCCCACAUUAGUCAGAAUAAAGCUCUAUUCAUAGCACAAAACCGCUUACUGUGAGAGUUCAUUUUCAAAAUUAGGGAAAUCCUGACAGUGUCUGACAGCUCAAGUUAUAUUUGAUAGAUUUUAUUUAAGUACUGUCUUCUUAUCUGUAUUUUAAUGUACUAGAGAAUGUUUUGCUGUAUGGAUUUCAAAAAAAGGUAAAACUAAGAGCAAAAUACAGAAGAUAAGAUUUUCAUCAGCCAUGAGGACAGGUUACAAAGAGCUACACAUUAAAGUCUCCAUAUGAUCCAUCAUGAAACAUUGUAGAUUUUAUAAAUUCCCAGCACAAUAGGCUGAGAGUAGCUUUUCAAAGGCUUUUCAUGCCUAAGUGCCAGGACUUUGAAAAUUUGCCUACAAGUGACUGAAAUUGAAUCCUGUGUGAACAUGUGAAGCUGAAACUGUGCCUUUGAACCCUAUCUCAGAUUUAGAACAACACAUUAUCUCCUUCUCCAUCAUGCAUCCUCCUAGACCCUGCCUGGGAGGACAGCACUGGGGAUGUUAGAAGAAAUAAGAACUUGAACAGAAUUUAGAAAAAGAGAGAGACUUGGAGGAACACAUUAUUUGGCUGGGAAGCAGACAUGCUGACAAUGAAGAUUUCAAGGAAUUCAGGAUUUUUUCGUAUUCAAAACUAGCAGGAAAUAAAACCAAGUGUGAAUAUUUAUAGAGAAGAAAUAAAAUUUCAGAGACUGAAUACCAAUAAAGGAAAUAAAUGAAAUCCUUAACUUUAUAGAUGUCUAAAAAGAAACCUUUGAUAAGGCUGCUUAAUAUCCCUGUCAGGAUCUGUUUGAUCACACCUGGGACCUGUUGAAUGCUACACAACCAUCACUAAUAAAAGUAACAGGCAUUACCAUCCUCCCCUGAGUAGACGAUGGAAAUGGAGCUCAGAGUCCCUUCUCCUUCAUUGUUGUAGACGCCAACUUUCACUUCAAAAGUAGAGAGAGGUUUAAUGCUUUCAUUCCUAUAAACAU